rnacentral:tRNA from 1 species
AGUAGAAUGGCUGAGAAAUAGGUAAUAGAUUGUAAAUCUAUAUAGGAGUAAUAACUCUUCUACUA